AACGAACGCUGGCGGCAUGCCUAACACAUGCAAGUCGAACGAGACCUUCGGGUCUAGUGGCGCAUGGGUGCGUAACGCGUGGGAACCUGCCCUUAGGUUCGGAAUAACUCCCCGAAAGGGGUGCUAAUACCGGAUAAUGUCUUCGGACCAAAGAUUUAUCGCCUUUGGAUGGGCCCGCGUUGGAUUAGCUAGUUGGUAGGGUAAAAGCCUACCAAGGCGACGAUCCAUAGCUGGUCUGAGAGGAUGAUCAGCCACACUGGGACUGAGACACGGCCCAGACUCCUACGGGAGGCAGCAGUGGGGAAUAUUGGACACUGGGCGAAAGCCUGAUCAAGCAAUGCCGCGUGAGUGAUGAAGGCCUUAGGGUUGUAAAGCUCUUUUACCCGGGAUGAUAAUGACAGUACCGGGAGAAUAAGCUCCGGCUAACUCCGUG
rnacentral:rRNA from 1 species